rnacentral:misc_RNA from 1 species
AACGAAAUUGAUUUCGGGAAAGCGGUUGUUAAACAAACUGUAAAAUUGCUAGUGUCGACAAGAAAGGCUCUGCCCGCCAUAAAGGGGCGGAAAGAGUGAAGGUUCGAAUCCUUCGGAGCCGUUUUAGAUGCACCUCGGGAUGUGAGUCCGGAGGGAAGGGCUGAGAGUCAAACCAAUGACUUUGCGAGGCCGUGUAAAGGUUUGCACAAUGGACGUUAAAUGGGUUUAACGGAGCAU